rnacentral:rRNA from 1 species
AUUGAACGCUGGCGGCAGGCUUAACACAUGCAAGUCGAGCGGGGUGAUGGUGCUUGCACUAUCACUUAGCGGCGGACGGGUGAGUAAUGCUUAGGAAUCUGCCUAUUAGUGGGGGACAACAUCUCGAAAGGGAUGCUAAUACCGCAUACGUCCUACGGGAGAAAGCAGGGGAUCACUUGUGACCUUGCGCUAAUAGAUGAGCCUAAGUCGGAUUAGCUAGUUGGUGGGGUAAGGGCCUACCAAGGCGACGAUCUGUAGCGGGUCUGAGAGGAGUAUCCGCCACCCUGGGACUGAGACACGGCCCAGACUCCUAGGGGAGGAAGCAGGGGGAAAUAUUGGAAAAUGGGGGGAACCCUGACCCAGCCAUGCCGCGUGUGUGAAGAAGGCCUUAUGGUUGUAAAGCACUUUAAGCGAGGAGGAGGCUCUUUUGGUUAAUACCCAAGAUGAGUGGACGUUACUCGCAGAAUAAGCACCGGCUAACUCUGUGCCAGCCGCCGCCGUAA